UACAGAGGGGGCAAGCGUUGUUCGGAAUUACUGGGCGUAAAGGGCGCGUAGGCGGCCUUCUAAGUCGAACGUGAAAUCCCCGGGCUCAACCCGGGAACUGCGUUCGAGACUGACAAGCUAGAGUAUGGUAGAGGGUGGUGGAAUUUCCUGUGUAGCGGUGAAAUGCGUAGAUAUCGCUAGGAAUGCCGGUGGCGAAGGCGGAUGGCUGGGCCACUCCUGACGCUGAGGCGCGAAAGCUAGGGGAGCGAACCGG
rnacentral:rRNA from 1 species